rnacentral:tRNA from 1 species
AGCCCUGAGGUGUAUUCAUAUCAGAUUGCAAAUCUGAAGAAGCAGGUAAAUCGUCUGCCGGGGCUU